ensembl:lncRNA
AAAUCCCCUCAGGAUCCCUCAAAUCCCCUCAGGAUCCCCCAAAUCCCCCCCCUUGACCUUUCCCCCAGUUUCCACUUCCCGCCCUUUGCCCCAGUUCUGACGUCACGCGCGUGAGGGAAGGGCGGGGUUUUCUUUGGGAUCCUUUUUUUAAAGGGAUUUGGGAAGGAUUUGGGGCUGGAAUUUUGUGGAAUUCUGUGGAAUUCUGUGGAAUUUUGUGGAAUUUUCUGGAAUUUUGGAGGUUUUCUUACCUGCGCCUCGUGCGUGCUCUGCAGCCGGGGCGCCCCAAAUCUGUGAAUUGAGGGGGUUUUAAAAAAGGAUUCCCCCAAAAAUAAACAACUCUGAGACCCCUCUCCCCCAAAUUCCCAUCCCCCUCCUCCUCAAAUUCUGGGGGAUCCCCAAAAUCCCCACAAGAUUUGGGAUCCCCCCCCAAAAGCUCCCCUCAAAUUCCUCAAUCCGAACCCCCAAACUUCCAGAACCUUCAAAACCCCCAAUUCCGAGAGCCCCCCCCCAAAAAACCCCCAAAAUUCAAAAAAACCCCAAAAAAUCCCAGCGCCCCCAAAACCUCAGGACCCCCCAAACUUCCAGAACCUUCUCAGAAUCCCCCCCAAAUCCCAAAUUUUGGUGUUCCCCCCACUCAAAUCCUCACCCGGGCGGGAUCCGCCGCAGCAGCCGCAGCCCCGCUCCCAGCCCCAGCCCGGCCAUGUCGCCGCUGUCGCCGCUGUCGCCGCUGUCGCGAUAAAUCCGGGGGUGUCCCAGGGGUGUCCCCAAGCCCCCCCCCUUCCCCUCACACAAGGUCACGGCCGUGGGCGUGGCCUCGGCGCGCGGGGCACGCUGGGAAACGUAGUGAACCCGCCCAACUUCCUAUGCUAAUUUAUGCUAAUUUAUGCUAAUGACGCGGGGUUAUAUUACGCCCCCGUGUUGUUGCCGUGGUGAUAGUUGCUGUGGGCGUGGCCUGGCGUGAGGGGAGGCGCUUAAAGGCUCGGAGGCGCUGCCGAAGACGUUUGAAUUGAGUUUUCGCCAUCUUUCCCCCAUCACAUUUCCCACCCUUUUCCCCUUGCAUUUCUACCACCUUCUCUCCUCACGUUUCUUGCCCUUUUUUUGCCUCACGUUUUCCACUUCAUACCCAUUUCUAGUUGGUUUUUGCCCUCACUUUUCAAACCAUUUUCUCCUAACGUUUCCCACCGUUCCCCCUCACUUCUCCCAAUUUUUCCUGCCCUUUUCCCCUCAUGUUCACCACUCACAUUUCCCCCUCACAUUUCUUUGUCUCAACAUCUUACCCAUUUUCUCCUCACGUUUCUGCCAUCUUGUUCCCUCGCAUCUCUGCUCUUUGACCCCCUCACAUGUCCCUCUUUUCUCCCUCACAUUUCCUCUUAUCCCUCACGUUUCCCACCUUCUCCUCUCACAUUUCUACCAUCCUGUCCCAUCACAUCUCCACUCUUUUCCCUAUACAUUUCCCACCAUAUUCCCCCUCACAUUACCCUUUACCCCAUCACAUUUCCUACCUUAUCCCUCAUAUUUUGCAUCCAUUUCUCCCUUCAUGUUUCUCAUGCUUUUCUCCCCUCGUUUCCCGCUCUUUUCUCCCCUCACGUUUCCUGCCCUUUUCUCCCCUCAUGUUU